AGUAACCCCGCCUUUGCCAGUUAAGUGCUAAUUUUAAUACACAGAAAAAGACCUGUAACGGGCAAACGGCGCAGUGGAUCCGGGCAUGAGAUACCGUCAAUGUGAGCAGCUUCCUAUGCAAACCGCAAACUCCAGGCAUCAAGGAUCUGAUAUUCCAAAAGAAAAACAUUAAGAUGAUAGAGCGGUUUUUCGGUAGGGCUUAUCUAAGUCUUGUGGCCAACCAAGUU